AGCUAACCCAUUCCAUCCAGUGACAUGAAGUUGAAAAAUCUUGCUCCAUGUGAAGAAUGUGGCCAAGGUUUUCUAAGUCUGAAUUCCAGACAAAUUUCCUGUUUGCAUUGGCUGAUCCUAGUUCCUGAAUUAUUGAUUCAAAUUGUUUUCAUACAUGUGCUACAAAACAGAACGUCUUUUGUGUGACUGUAGCAUAUAGACUUAAUGUUUGAAAAUUACUGGCAGUAUUUAGUGGUGAAUGAGGCUACCUCCUUUCAGAAGACAGGACUCUAGAGAAAGUGGAAUCAGUUGCCGGUCCAUGUCAAACAGCCAAUAUUAUCACAGAAAACUGGUUUUAUACAAAAUUUAUGAAGAUAGUGGCUUAGUGAAAAAGAAAUUUGUGACAUAGAAAUUGUCAAUUUUUUAGAGAGAAUUUUCUACUCAGAGACUGGUUAUACGGUGAUAGACAGUCUGUUACUGUGACACAGUAAUAGCACUCCAGUAACUUUUUUACUGGUUUUUCAUAUCUUUCAUUCAGUCUCAUGCAUAAUAUUAAAUAUUUAUACGUGGAACAAACAGCGUUGUACCUCAUUUUACGUACACUGUUUGAUACAGAGAAAUUUAUUAUAUUUUGUAGCUCAAUAUGCAAAUUCCUUAUCAUUGGUCUUUAGUAUCACAAGUUUUGUAUUUAAGAAAAUUGCGUGCAAUAUUUUCUCAUCAUUUGCUGCUAGUUUAUUGAUGCACUGACAUUUAAUCUCGUCAUCAUUUAUAUCAGGUUUUUAGUACCUAUUCAUAUGAAUUACCUAUUGUAUAAUGACUUGGCAUACAAGCACCUUCAGUGAUUUUAUGUGUAAUUUAUGUUGUUUUCUGUCCAUUGGGCGAAUGUGGAAGAAAAUUACAUUCCACAGUAUUUAUCAGAAUUUGUGUGUCUACUAAUUAAAGAGAGAUUGUGUGCGUGUGUGUGUGUGUGUGUGUGUGUGUGUGUUUUAAUUGUCAGCUGUUGAUUAAUAAACUAUAACAUGGCUUAGUUA